rnacentral:rRNA from 1 species
AGAGUUUGAUCCUGGCUCAGAACGAACGCUGGCGGUAUGCUUAAUACAUGCAAGUCGAACGUGAAAGUCUCUUCGGAGGCGAGUAAAGUGGCGCACGGGUGAGUAACACGUAGGUGACCUACCCAUUUGUGGGGGAUAACUUCGGGAAACCGGAGCUAAUACCGCAUAAGUUGGACAACUCUGGAAGGAGUUCAAGAAAGAUGGCCUCUCCUUGGAAGCUAUCGCAGAUGGAUGGGCUUGCGCGACAUUAGCUUGUUGGUGGGGUAAUGGCCUACCAAGGCUACGAUGUCUAGCUGGUCUGAGAGGAUGAUCAGCCACACUGGAACUGAGGCACGGUCCAGACUCCUACGGGAGGCAGCAGUAGGGAAUAUUGCGCAAUGGGCGAAAGCCUGACGCAGCAAUACUGCGUGAGGGAGGAAGGUCUUCGGAUUGUAAACCUCUGUCAGAAGGGAAAAAUAGCUUUAUGGUUAAUAUCCAUAGAGUUUGAUGGUACCUUCAAAGGAGGCACCGGCUAACUCCGUGCCAGCAGCCGCGGUAGUACGGAGGGUGCAAGCGUUGUUCGGAUUUAUUGGGCGUAAAGCGCGCGCAGACGGGAUAAUAAGUCAGGUGUGAAAUCUCGGGGCUCAACUCCGAAAGUGCGCCUGAAACUGUUAUUCUAGAAUUCUGGAGAGGGAUGGGGAAUUUCUCAUGUAGGGGUAAAAUCCGUAGAGAUGAUAAGGAACACUUGAUGCGAAGGCGCCAUCCUGGACAGAUAUUGACGCUGAGGCGCGAAAGCGUGGGGAGCAAACAGGAUUAGAUACCCUGGUAGUCCACGCCGUAAACUAUGAGAACUUGUUGUCGGGGGUAUUGACCCCUCCGGUGACUUAGCUAACGUGUUAAGUUCUCCGCCUGGGGAGUACGGUCGCAAGACUAAAACUCAAAGGAAUUGACGGGGGCCCGCACAAGCGGUGGAUCAUGUGGUUUAAUUCGAAGCAACGCGAAGAACCUUACCUGGGCUUGAAGUCCCACGAACGGCCAAGAGAUUGGCUGGUGCUCUUCGGAGAAUGUGGUGAUAGGUGCUGCAUGGCUGUCGUCAGCUCGUGUUGUGAAAUGUUGGGUUAAGUCUCGCAACGAGCGCAACCCCUGUCCUUAGUUGCCAGCAUUAAGUUGGGCACUCUGAGGAGACUGCCCGGGUUAACCGGGAGGAAGGUGGGGAUGACGUCAAGUCCUCAUGGCCCUCAUGUCCAGGGCUACACACGUGAUACAAUGGUGCAUACAAAGGGAAGCGAACUCGCGAGGGGGAGCAAAUCUCAAAAAGUGCAUCUCAGUCCGGAUUGGAGUCUGCAACUCGACUCCAUGAAGUUGGAAUCGCUAGUAAUCGUGGAUCAGCAUGCCGCGGUGAAUACGUUCCCGGGCCUUGUACACACCGCCCGUCACACCAUGGGAGUUGGCUCAAUCUGAAGACGUGACUCUAACCUUCGGGGGGAGAGCGUCCACGGUGGGGCCGAUGACUGGGGUGAAGUCGUAACAAGGUA